GGAGACUGCUGUUGCAGCCUGCACACACCUGUAGUUUGAGUUGAAGCCCGGGGAAUCUGCAGUAACUGAUGGCACUGGAGGACUUGUCUGAGGAUUGCUGUUUAAAGGAAUAAUAAACUGCUCACGUUUACCGAGAAGGAGAAAGAAAAAAGUCUUUAUUCAAAAUGUAAAUCUCUUCCUGCUGAGGAGCGAACCCAAAAGUCAGCCUUCAGGAUAUAAAUAUUUAUGCCUUUUGCAUAAACAGCAGAUGUAACAUUUCCAAUUAACUGUCGAUCUUUCCAUUUCUCUGGCUGCUGCUGCUUUCUCUCACAAUAUCGGAAUGAAAUAUGGAUAGCGGUCCGCUUGAUUUGCCUCAGUUCAGAUCUGUCACACAUUUCCACAGUCAGUAAGAUGAAAUUGUUCCUGAAAAUGUUUAUUUAUCAGAGCCUAACAAUUUUCCUGUAUUUUUUUUUUCCUUGAAUUCAAUGUCAAAUGAAUUCUGCUGAAAGAUAUGAGAUUCUCAGUCAUGAUAAAAAGACAAUGGAGAAGCAGAAGCAGGCUCGGGUGAGUGCUCAGGCACUGCAGCACACUUCAGCCAGCCGUAGAAGAACCCCUGAGGACAUGGGAGACUUCAGUCAUUGUGACCCGUUUGGCCCCUGGCCUUUCUACCAAGGCAGCUAGCCUGGGGCCAGUUAGCAUCCAGCGAAGAGGUUUCAGGAUGUAGCCACCUGUUCACUAGGAACUGCCUCCAUCAGUUCUUUGGUAUCAGUUUCCUCAGGUGUCUGACAUUCAAUCCUGCUAAUGGCAGCCUCUCACUUCCACGACUUCUUUCUCUCUGGGAGAAGGUGUGAACUGUGCAAGUGAGAAAGUGAACCCUACUAUAGCUUGUAAACAUCAGUCUGAACUGGCAUCGUGCCUGCAAAGCAGAAGAUUUCACUGGAGCAUGGAAAGGAGAAUGAGAACAAAAAGCGGCAGCAGAGAAGCUGUAGUAGGUUAAAAAAACAAAAAGACAAAAAGAAGGAGUAAGGGGAAGGAAAAGCACUUCUUUUGUGGUUUGUCAGAAAGUGAGGGUCCCUCUGUGCCCCUCUGCUGAGGAUGCUUCUGCCUGUUUGCUGGUCCUUUUAUCUGUCCUAAAACACAGUGAGGUUUAGCUCAGCCUCCCCUCAUCUCCUGGGAAUCCAAAAUCUGGCUGUGGCAUCGCUCCAAAGCAGGAGCUGCUUUUCAGCUGAUCUGCCUUUCACCAGGGGCUCAGGCAAAGGGAUCUCUGUCUCCCUGCCUGAGGCUGCUGUUGGUGAGGUUGGGGCAUAAGCCAACCUGGCAUCCCACAGCUCUGCAGGUGUUGCUGUGGGGACUGGCUCUGCCUCAGCCAUCCCUGUGGCACUGCGGGACUGAGGCAGCUGCAGUCCUCACUGCUCAAGGGCGCAGCCUCCUCACAGGCUUCUGGCUCCUGUUUUUCUCCAGGCUCCCUGUGCUUUGAGCUGCUUUGCUCGUCCUCUCCCCAGGCUCUUCUGUCUCCCGUAUUCUCCCUGACUCUGGAUUUUUGCAGCUGGCCUUUUGCAUAGUAGGAGGACUCAUUCUUGUCACCUGGAAAAAAAAGUGUCUAAAUUCACAAGUGACUGGAAGCCUAAUUGCUCAGUCGGCACAUUUUUUCACUUUCUGCUCUGCCCAAAGGCAGAUGUCGUAGUGUUUGUCUAUAUUCAAGUAUAGUCUUGACUCAGCCAUCUUUGACCACUGCUCAGGUUAUAUGCAUCAAAUAAUCACCACCAUUUACAGCAAGUGAGCUAACCAAGUACACUUUGAUUGCAGGUAGGAGACAAUUUUGCUUAGCUCAGUGCAGAUCCUUGGAUGCGUAGGAUUACAUCGGCAGUGAGGCAGGUAUAUUAAUGUGUGGCUAGGCUGCAGUUACUGGUGACUGCAUGCUACCUUCCUCUUCAUAUUAAUCUAUCUGCGUGACCAGCUGUAUCUAUACGAACCUGAGGCAGCGUCAGCAAAAUGUCUGGGCUUUGCUUUUAGCCAGGAACAGGAGGCAGAUCACACUGCUGUUGCCAUUGCCACCCCUGUCGUGCCCUGUUCCUGACAGAGCAAUCUCUGCUCCUCCUGCCUGGGGAGCUGCACAGGCACGAGGCAGCUCUGGGAACUGCUGAAAGUGGAUCAAUGGGGAUUCACAAUUCAGAAUAAAGCAAGCUCAAAAUGAGGCUGAAAGUCAGCUUUCUUAAACCACAAGCAUUUAUUUCUCUUCUUGGUUCAGCCCCUUCACUGUCGCUGACUCUGGUAUUUUUCCUGAGUUUUCACUGCUGGAUGAAGAGGCUUUCUGGUUUAAUGGGUUUCAUUAAUCAUACAACAAUGCAUCUCUGCAGCACCAGAUUCAAAUUAUAUUACUGGUAGGUAUUGGCCUGGGUCCUCAGGUUGAGGGUGCUCUGAGGUCAAGUCACUGGCUUGCAGCUCUGUGCACAUUUUGGGUGUAGUGGAGGGCUCCUGGGACGACGUGGCUGCUUGUUCUGGCACUGGAACAAACUGUCAGCUGGGCGCACUGAGUGCUCCAGCUCACGGCUCUCCCCUGAGGCUGAUGCAAAGGGAAUGAAGGCACUGUCACGAGUCCCAGAUUUGAAGGCGAUCUGUCAUCCUCCCAAGAGUUGUCCUCAUUUAUAUGGAUCCUAGCAGGUCCUUAUGAAGCCCAGGAUCUCAGUCUCGCAUGCCCACUGCCUAUUCUUCCAGAAGCAAAAGAUCCUCCUCUUCACCCUUUGUUCUCUGUGUUUUCCCUGGAACAGAUUCUCAGGAUUUUAAGGUAUCCAGUUUUUCCAGUGCUAAAAGCCCCAGUGCUGAGGUGCCUUCUCUCACAUGCCCCGUGGGUGCUGAGGUGACCUGCAGGCACAGUCAGAAGCAAGCUUCCAGCCCGUCCUCCCGCCGCCUUGCUAGGCACAAAAGCAAUUGCAGAGCCUAUGGCUAGAGGGACCCACCAACAAAUGGCCUUCAAGGGCUUCCUUAAUCACCUUUCCCCAGCACCUCCAUUGCAAAGAUGGAAUUCAAAGGAAAUUGCCAAGACCUGAUCCCAGCCCACAGACUGCCUGCCAGACAGCUCUGUGUUAAACACUCCCAGAUUUGCUUUAUGACCUCUGUUUUGAGGCCUCAGGUAAACAUUAUGGUAUGAACCACAGAACUGGAGCACCGAUGCCUUUCUGCUAGUGUGGGACUGCAGUUGUUUUUCUUGCUUUUUAGGAUACAGGAAUCUUGUGUUAUCAAAAGCCCGUGCUUAACCAUUGAUAGAGCUUGACUUAACCCUAUUGCUCUAGCUUUGGGAAGGAGUUGGUUCCCUGCCAGGAACAUUUCUGGGCAAAUUCCUAGAAAGUGGCAUUUUAGUAGGUGACCAGAAAUGUAAAGGGACCCUGCCUUGAGGCUGGUGUGUACAGCUGUGAAUGCACACCAGCGCAGAGGUAGGUGAGAUGCUCUUCCACGGCUCCCACGUAGCCUGAGAGACCCUUAAGGUCCCUUUUGAGAAGGAUGUAGGCAGUUUGUGCAUUACAUCAUUUCCCUUGCAAAUGUGCUCACGCUGCAUUUGGAUUACCUCAUUCUUGCCAGAAUUUAGACUGUGCUUCUGUGGCCAGGCCCUUGAAUUUGCACACUGAUCAGCCAGACUCGCUGAGCUGACUUCAGAAUCCUUCCGAUGCAGAUGAGACCCGACCCACCCUUCCCCUUUCUUCCCUGCACCCUAUUACUUUGCCCGUUUGUGUCAGACAGAGGGGCUCAGCAAAUAAAUACUCUGCUUGUUGGCAGGUAGUCCAGGCAUUUAGCUUGAUAGCAACACAGAAUAAUAAAUGCCCUUUCAGCUAUUUUGCCCAAGCGCAAAUUUGGCUGCAGGCGGUUUUAUCGCCUGUUUAAUAUUUUGUCCAACCUUCCGGCUUCCUUCUCGGGAGGAAGCAGUCUGCAGGUGCAGCAAACACUUUUUGUUCCUUUACGACUAGAAGAAUCUACAAUUCCUCUAAUGCUUAUAGUCUGACUUGAUUCUGGCUCACCCACCUGCCUGCUCUCUCUGGAGGUGAACAUUUUCAAUAAUUUACUUUAGAGCUGUUCUAUCAUCUUGCUAUUUAUUUCUGCCAUAAAUUAUGCCCAGAGGUUAGGAAGCUCUUAUCUUCCCACUCACAAAGGAACCAAAGAAAAAUAUUCUACAGGGCAGAGAGGCGUCUCUGGGUGGUUUGUAAAUAUUUCCAGAGGCAAGAGAGUGGAAAGAGCUGCAGUCCCUACCCUGCUGGUAUCGCCCGACACAGCCUGCAUUCUGUGGGUUGUGCAAUAGGGAGCAGUUGUGCACACACAGCCCCCCUCUCCCCACCGUGAUUUACAUCCAGCUUCUGUGAGAUACACCUGCUAGUGCUUCAAAGCAUGGAAAGGAAAUAGUAAUAAUAAUAAUAAUAAUAAAAAAGCCUUGAGAGAUGAUAGUUUACUCCUCACACACUCGUUUGACUCAUUAAAAUCAGUGGAGAGAUUUUCAGUGACUUCUCUGGGAUUUGGAUCAGACCCUAAAAGCACGAGCUCUGAGAGCUGGACUGCUGCCAGCUAGCUUAAGAGACACUGAAUUCCAAGCAAAUGAGUUUUCAUUUUUAAUUCAGAAGCUAAAUAAAAUUGCAUUUGCAGAGCAUUUGGAUGGGAUAGCUCCCAGAAAAAUCUAGAUAACUGAAGGAAGUGAUACUUCUGGUGUGCUUGCCUCUUCUUAGCAGUACCCUGAGGGGCUCAUCGCUCUGCAAAGCAGUAUCAAUUAUCCAGCAAUGGAUGCUACUACUCUUCUUAUUACCACAGUGCCUAAGUGCUCACUGUAGAGCAGGACUCCAGUAAACUGGACAAUAGAGAAGUAUAAAGCAAACGGAUGGCCCUUGCCACGCAGAGCAUCUCCAAGCCAAGGUGGACCAUUUUAUGCUGUUUGCUGACGGGUGCUGCACCACGCAGAGGGGCACUGCUUUAUUCCUGCUUAUAUUUUCAGUGCCUUGGGAGGUGAUAGGGAAUUCUGUGCUGCUCAUUUUGGUAGAAGACAUAAAGCGUAAGUCCUGUUUUUACCACCCCAAUUCCAUUAUGUUUUGUUAGGAAACGCCCGCAGAAGCUUGAUCAACGUGCAGGUGAACUCAAUUUACAGUGGAGGCUCAUUUACAAGUGCAGUGCUGCCUGCCUGAAGGUCAGAUGUGUGCUUUGUGCCAGGGCUGUACACUCAGGUCUGGAGAGAAGGGGAGAGUCAGCCCGCACUAUCUCAGUGCUACACGAGCACAUGCUUUUCUCUGGUUAUCUUUUUUGCAUCUUCCUGUUUUUUAAUCAGCACACCCUGACUUGCCUCCAUUUCCUCUCUCUCUUUUUAUUCUUUGGUCUGUUCUGAUAGCAUCACCUGGUCACCCUCAGCAGAUAACUCCCCUGGAGAAUGGCAGAAUUACGAAAAUCACAAUUGUAAAGAUCUGCCUAUACUUCACUUGGUUUGUGAAGUGCAAAAAUAGAUGUAACUAUUUCAUUUCUUCGGGGGAUACUGUGCCUCCUGAGUUCAGGCAGGCCAUCCCCAGGGGAGCUGUUCUUGGGUGCUCCCAGACCCAUGCAGCAAAGGAAGCUCUUGAAAUCCUGUAAGAAAAGACUGCCCUUAUUUCCAUCUUCCCCCCGCCAGUGAGAGAUAAAGCAGCUGACGUGACCAAAGAAAGGACAGGAGAGGGAAAGUGACCGUGGAACUUGAGGGAGAUGCUGGCUGUGGUCCCGCAGCCGUGCUCAUCUCUGACGGAUACAGCGAGAAAUCAGGCUGAAGAGGAGAUCUCAACAAACAAAUCAACUAAAUGAACAAACUGGGUGAUAAAGUACAGCUGCGGAUCAGUAGCUAACGAACACACCUCUGUCUCUGCAUUGCUUUCUCCUGGGCAGAACGGGAGUCAAUUACCCGCCUUCCAACAAGCUAUCGAUCGAGCCGCUGCCGGGUAUCGAAUCCGCGGCCCUGUCCGCCCUGCGUGUGGCUCUUUGAUUUUCUCUCCCUCUGUAGCAGCACGUGGAUGGAAGCCAGAUGAGCUAGCACAGGACUAUCGAUCAGCCCGCAUCCCUCCUCCUCCUCCUUCUCUUCUUCACCCAGUCGCCAUGGCAACCCUGCAGCAGCAGCAGCAGCAACAGCACUGUUUACCUGGCCCAUUUAUUUUCCUUUUCAAUAUCUUUCCCUUCCCCCCGCUGCUCUCACCUUGGCAUGAUAUUGGCAAAGCACUCAGCAGUUGUAAAAGAGAUGAGUUUUUAUGACUCUGAGGAGGACAAUGCAGUUCUCAGCUCUACUUUAUCACCCACUUGCUUCAUUUAGUUGAUUUGUUUGUGAGGAGUCAGUGCCCGUAAACAACAGAUAUCUCAGGUACCAACUAGAUCAUGCUCCAGUCGUGCAGGAGGACCUGUCAUUCUGAAAUGCCGGUCUCUUUUCUAUGGUUGAAUUAUGUCUACGGUGUCCAUUUCAUCUCAAAGGUCUUUCCUGGCUUCCUUUUAAUUGAAAUUCUUCACCCAAGUCUCACAUUCCUGAUUCUUUCCACUGCAAAGCCAUCAAAACCUUCCAGGAGGCUCCUAGUUUUCCUUGCAAUUCAAUAUGAUUGAUACAGGAUGUGAAAGAUCACUGGAUGUUAUCAACUACAGAUUCUCUCUCCUUGAAGCAGCAAGCUACAGGAUAAAUUGUGGAAUUCACUACUGCACCGCAUUAUUGAAGAAAAUAUUGUAUUUUGAAGAAAGUGCUCUCAAUUGUAAUCACCAAAUAAAAGCUUCCUGUGUGAUGUGCUGUGAGGCAUGAGAGGACUGGGGUCAGUGAGGAGUCUUCCUUGGUCCUUCUGUUUUCCUGUCCUAGAGCAGCAUGGUGCUGGGAGUAUUGCAGAGCCUUCAUCCCUUGGCAAGUCUCACCCCAUCAGACCCGUUACCAAGCUGCCAGUCGUCUAUCUUUAUGAAGCAGGAGCUCAGACACUACAGAAGAUGGACCGUGGAUGCAUUUACAAUUAUAAAGUCUUAGAUGGACUGUGCAAAAUGAGAUGGGACAGGGAGUGACCACUACUAGACACCAGGCCUCACUGGAGUGACAAUUAAUUCAGAGCACCAAGAGAGAGGGAAAUAUCUGACUGGCUGGAGUGGUGGUCUGAUGUGACAUGGCAGGAAGCAUGAUACUAAUGCAAAUCGUUAGUACUUAUUAACUAAUUAAAUUGUUGUAAUGCCCAUAAGGCACUUAACACUUUCCAGGCGCAGAAGAGAGCCCAGUCUCUGCCCUUAGGAGUAGAAGGUCUAAAAAGGUAAACACAGAGGAAUGGUGGAAGAAAAACAAUUAACAUAGAGCACAAAGGGUGUAAUGAGAAGAAGCGCAGGGCUUUGCAGUUACAAUCUAUGUCUGGUUUUGUGAAGAAAGAAAGCCUAUGUGAUUACAAGAACUUUGUGUAUGGGGGAGCAUGCGUGUAUGAUAAUAUGUCUGUCUGGUGCGUGGAUAAUUUUCAACUUCAAGCAAAUUUGAUGGAGGAGAAGCUGUCUCAGAAAUACUUAGUUGUUAAAAUAAGAAGCUGAG
ensembl:lncRNA